UACGAAGGGGGCUAGCGUUGCUCGGAAUUACUGGGCGUAAAGGGCGCGUAGGCGGAUAUUUAAGUUGGGGGUGAAAUCCCGGGGCUCAACCUCGGAAUUGCCUUCAAAACUGGAUAUCUUGAGUUCGGGAGAGGUGAGUGGAACUCCGAGUGUAGAGGUGAAAUUCGUAGAUAUUCGGAAGAACACCAGUGGCGAAGGCGACUCACUGGCUCGGUACUGACGCUGAGGCGCGAAAGCGUGGGGAGCAAACAGG
rnacentral:rRNA from 1 species